GUGCAGCAGGCGAGAAUUUUUCUCAAUGGGGGCAACCCUGAAGGAGCGACGCCGCGUGGAGGAUGAAGGCUUUCGGGUUGUAAACUCCUGUCAUUUGAGAACAAGUGUAGCCAAGUAACUACUGGCUACUUGAUAGUAUCAGAAGAGGAAGAGACGGCUAACUCUGUGCCAGCAGCCGCGGUAAUACAGAGGUCUCAAGCGUUGUUCGGAUUCAUUGGGCGUAAAGGGUGCGUAGGUGGCGCCAUAAGUCGGGUGUGAAAUCUCGGGGCUUAACUCCGAAACUGCAUUCGAUACUGUGGUGCUUGAGGACUGGAGAGGAGACUGGAAUUCAUGGUGUAGCAGUGAAAUGCGUAGAGAUCAUGAGGAAGACCAGUGGCGAAGGCGGGUCUCUGGACAGUUCCUGACACUGAGGCACGAAGGCCAGGGGAGCAAACGGGAUUA
rnacentral:rRNA from 1 species